AGUGAACGCUGGCGGUAGGCCUAACACAUGCAAGUCGAACGGCAGCACAGUAAGAGCUUGCUCUUACGGGUGGCGAGUGGCGGACGGGUGAGGAAUACAUCGGAAUCUACUUUUUCGUGGGGGAUAACGUAGGGAAACUUACGCUAAUACCGCAUACGACCUACGGGUGAAAGCAGGGGAUCUUCGGACCUUGCGCGAUUGAAUGAGCCGAUGUCGGAUUAGCUAGUUGGCGGGGUAAAGGCCCACCAAGGCGGCGAUCCGUAGCUGGUCUGAGAGGAUGGUCAGCCACACGGGAACUGAGACACGGUCCAGACUCCUACGGGAGGCAGCAGUGGGGAAUAUUGGACAAUGGGCGCAAGCCUGAUCCAGCCAUACCGCGUGGGUGAAGAAGGCCUUCGGGUUGUAAAGCCCUUUUGUUGGGAAAGAAAAGCAGCAGGUUAAUACCCCGCUGUUCUGACGGUACCCAAAGAAUAAGCACCGGCUAACUUCGUG
rnacentral:rRNA from 1 species